rnacentral:rRNA from 1 species
UACGAGGGGGCGAGCGUUGUUCGGAAUUAUUGGGCGUAAAGGGUGCGUAGGCGGUUUGGUAAGUCUGAUGUGAAAUCUAUGGGCUCAACUCAUAGUCUGCAUCGGAAACUGCCGGGCUUGAGUGUGGGAGAGGUGAGUGGAAUUCCUGGUGUAGCGGUGAAAUGCGUAGAUAUCAGGAGGAACACCUGUGGUGUAGACGGCUUUCUGGACCGUAGCUGACGCUGAGACGCGAAAGCGUGGGUAGCAAACAGG